GAGGAGUUUCUGCCCUGUGAAUGGGGCAGCAAAUGGCUUCAGGAGAAAGGACAUGGAGCUUUGAGACCUGGCCCAUCUCUUUAGCACCUGAGUCGGGAUAUCGGACCUUGUCUGCCUGAAUGCUUCCUGCCAUGAUGACAAUGGACUAACCUCUGAACUCUUAUUUAUAAUAAGACGAAGAAGAGCAAACAGUAGUAUCUUUAAAGAAUGAAAGAGAUGAUGUCUAUGACACCUCUGAAGAACAAGAGUGUGUGCUUUCAGACCACAAUCUUAUGGCCCAUCAACAUGGCUUCUAAAUUGGAAGUGAAAGUUUACAGAACUCUUGUAUGAUUGAUUGAUGCCUACCUAAUAAAUGGGUUUGUUUGACUUGA